GGUUGACUAAGGAGGAAGACAUGGGAUUGACACGAUCCAUCAACGUCCUAGUGGUCGGAGCAGCCUUCGUAUUCGUCGUGACGAUGCUUUUCAUCUGACGAAGAACGAUCACCGCAGACAACCGAACUCCUGAAAGCAAACAAAACAGCCUAUUCCAUUUAAAAAGCGCAUGCCGAAGAUCGACAUGCGCUUU
rnacentral:sRNA from 1 species